rnacentral:rRNA from 1 species
AUACGGAGGAUCCGAGCGUUAUCCGGAUUUAUUGGGUUUAAAGGGUGCGCAGGCGGCCAUUUAAGUCAGCGGUUAAAUCGAGGGGCUCAACCCCAUUCUGCCGUUGAUACUGGGUGGCUUGAUUGCGGUCGAGGUUGGCGGAAUUCGUUGUGUAGCGGUGAAAUGCAUACAUCUGACGAAGAACACCGAUUGCGUAGGCAACUGACCAGACCGCAAAUGACGCUCAUGCACGAAAGUGCGGGGAUCGAACAGGAUUAGAUACCCUGGUAGUCCGCACAGUAAACGAUGAAUACUUGUUUUCAGCGAUAUGAUGUCGAAGGUAAAGCUAAAGCGAUAAGUAUUCCACCUGGGGAGGACGCCGGCAACGGUGAAUCUCAAAUGAAUUGGCGGGU